rnacentral:rRNA from 1 species
GAAGGGCGCUAGCGUUGCUCGGAAUUACUGGGCGUAAAGGGCGCGUAGGCGGACAUUUAAGUCAGGGGUGAAAUCCCAGAGCUCAACUCUGGAACUGCCUUUGAUACUGGAUGUCUUGAGUGUGAGAGAGGUAUGUGGAACUCCGAGUGUAGAGGUGAAAUUCGUAGAUAUUCGGAAGAACACCAGUGGCGAAGGCGACAUACUGGCUCAUUACUGACGCUGAGGCGCGAAAGCGUGGGGAGCAAA